GGUAACUCUUUUGGGUUCUCUUCUACCGUGUGACAGGUUUGUUUAUUAAUUGUUUUUGGUAAGUUUUGUUGCUGCUGGUUGUGGGGGGUACGUACUGCUUUUUUUGAGCUGUAGUAUUUUUGGGAAAGGUCUUGUAGUUUCACUCUUGAAGUUAGUAAAACCACUGAACCUACUGGGAAGAAGGAACAACUUCAGACUCUUAUACUUAAGAGCUGUAACUUUCAUCUGGAAGGUCUGUAGCUCUACUCGUGAGCAAGCGGGACCACUGAACCCCCCCAACCACCAAUUAACGAAUGAAACUCCUGAUAUAUCCGAACCUCAAAAGGAACGAACUUUGGAUAUACCACCUUUAAGAACUGUAAUGCUCACCGUGAGGGUCCGUGGCUUCAUUCUUGAAGUUAGUGAGACCAAGAACCCACCCAUGCUGGACACAAAGGGAGCAUGUAUAUAUAUAUAUAUAUAUAUAUAUAUAUAUAUAUAUAUCCACGUUGGGAAAGAAAUCUAUGUUAUGGAGGAAGUUAGACCAAAUAGUGUCUAGGACCCCUUCUAUAUUUUCCUGAAGUUGCUGUGACGUAGCGGAAACCCAGGGCUUAAACAACAAAAUUUAUUUUUCUCUUUUUCUGGAGGCUCGAGGGCUGAAAUCAAUGUUUGGGCAGGGACAAGCUCCUUCUGAUGCCCCAGGGAAGGCUCUGCUCCAGCCUCUUUCCAGCUUCUAGUUCUCUGGCUUGUGGCGGUGUUGUUCCAGCUUUUACGUGGCAUUCUCCCUGUAUGUAUGUCUGCAUCUAGAUUUCUCCUUAAAAGGUCACAAGUCCUGUAGGAUUAGUUUUCCUCUGGCGUGAGUUCAUCUUGACUAAUUACAUGUCCAACAACUGUAUCUUCGAAUUAAGUUUCAGAUAAGGCCACAUCCUGAGGUAAGAGGGGCUAGGACUUGAACAUACGAAUUUGCAGGGGACACAAUUUAACCCAUAACACUUUCCAACUCUGCAAUUUGAUUGACCAGAAUAAAGACAUAUACAAGUAUAACUAAAAUAAGGCACCCAUUUACGCUAUUCGUAGCCGUUUUUAGUUAACUGCGCAUCUAAACUUGGCAUUCACGUGUCUGGUCUUAAAGAGAACGUGUGUUUUUUUCUUAUCCUGAAUUCCUUUCAGAAGACCUUUCACUGUCCAUAUUCCAUUAGCUCCAUGGAGGACUUACUUCCUGCAGGCUCUGCUUGCCUCCCACAAGAGAUUCUUUGCCUUGAUUGCACUUAAUAGAAGUAUAAUCUGGCCUUCAAAUCACCCGUUCAUUUGAUUUUCCCAGUAAUCCCUUUGCUCUCUGUGUCUGCAUUUGCCAGCUGGGUCUAGAGCUGACUUUUUCCCAUCUGAAGGGAGGAUGCUUCCCCCGUUAACAUUCGCUUUUCUUCCUUUGAACCGUGAGGGUGUGUGGAUGAUCCCUCAGGACUUAAACCCCGACAAACCUCAGCAACACCAGAACAUCGCUUUCCAAUCCCUCCUUAAUCAGAACGUAAUGAAACUUUGAAACAAAAGCUUUUCAAAUUAGAUGAAUGAUUCCAUCACAGGAGAUCAAAGGCAGGACAGCUAAUUAGGACAAAAUCUUGUCCACAGAGUUUCUCUGGUAAUAAUGGAAAUAUUCUUCUUAUCAUAUUACAAGAAAAAUAGGAAAAUUCAUAUAUCCGGUAUAAUUUCAACUGUGGGGACAAAACAGAAAAAGGGCUGUAGUGACUCCAGGGAACGUGUGAACAGUGGUUAUCAGCGGAUCACAGAAUGCAGGAAAAUAUCCAUUUCUAUCUUUAAACUGAUCUGAAAAUUUAGGACCAGAGUGGAAGUCAACACUGGCCCUGCGUGUAGUUUCAGAAAAGGCGCCUCCUGGACCUGCCGCACUUUGAUACCCUCCUUUGCACACCCCAUUUCAUUUGUCCUGCUAUCAACUUGACAUCAGCAUUUCCACACCCAAAUAUCCCUUAUAUGCUCUUCUGACAGUGAGGAUGUUUGCUCCCUACUGAAACAGAGUUUAGAACUCACACCUUGUUAACAGGUUGUCAAAAUUCGUUUUGCUAGUCUAUUGUUUUUCUUCUAAUACAAAAAGAUUUGCUGA
rnacentral:lncRNA from 1 species